rnacentral:rRNA from 1 species
AACCUGGUUGAUCCUGCCAGUAGUCAUAUGCUUGUCUAAAAGACUAAGCCAUGCAUGUGUGAGUGUAAGCGAUUAAUAGUGGGACUGCGAAUGGCUCAUUAAAACAGUAAUAGUUGAUGUGAUGGGUGUAGAUGGAUACCCGUAGUAAUUCUAGAGCUAAUACAUGCCACGUGUUUAUUAGAUAUCGUCCCUCUGGGAACAACAAUAAGCGAGAACCGCGUCGGGAGACGCGGGGCAUCAUGCAAGUUUCUGCCCUAUCAGCUUUGGAUGGUAGUGUCUUGGACUACCAUGGCAGUGACGGGUGACGGAGAAUUAGGGUUCGAUUCCGGAGAGGGAGCCUGAGAGACGGCUACCACAUCUAAGGAAGGCAGCAGGCGCGCAAAUUACCCAAUCCUGACUCAGGGAGGUAGUGACCAGAAAUAACGACGACGGGUUUCGAUUCGUCGAUUGCAAUGAGCACAAUGUAAAAUUCUUAGCGAGUACCGACUGGAGGGCAAGUCUGGUGCCAGCAGCCGCGGUAAUUCCAGCUCCAGUAGCGUAUAUUAAAGUUGUUGCAGUUAAAAAGCUCGUAGUUGGACGUCUCUGCGACACGCAGCUCCGCCACGCAACUAGGUGCGUUCUUAAUUGAACGGUCUAGACCUGCGGGCCCUUUACCUUGAGGAAACUAGAGUGUUUAAGGCAGGCUAAGCCUGAAUACUGCAGCUGGGAAUAAUGCGCACGACUGUCUUGGCGAGGCAGCUCCACACUUUUAAUAGGAACAGUUGGGGGCAUUCGUACUCAGCAGUCAGAGGUGAAAUUCUUGGAUUUGCUGAAGACGGACUAAUGCGAAAGCAUUUGCCAAGGAUGUUUUCAUUAAUCAAGAACGAAAGUUAAGGGAUCCAAGACGAUCAGAUACCGUCCUAGUCUUAACCAUAAACGAUGCCGACUAGGGAUCGGGAGAGACGCACAAACUCUCUCGGCACCUCACGAGAAAUCCAAGUCUUUGGGUUCUGGGGGGAGUAUGGUCGCAAGACUGAACCUUAAAGGAAUUGACGGAAGGGCACCACAAGGAGUGGAGCCUGCGGCUUAAUUUGACUCAACACGGGGAAACUUACCAGGUCCAGACAUAGUGAGGAUUGACAGAUUGACAGCUCUUUCUUGAUCCUAUGGGUGGUGGUGCAUGGCCGUUCCUAGUUGGUGGAGUGAUCUGUCUGGUUAAUUCCGAUAACGAACGAGACCUCAGCCUGCUAACUAGAUCUUCUUAGAGGGACUUCCUGCUCGCGUGGGAGGAAGUGAGGCAAUAACAGGUCUGUGAUGCCCUUAGAUGUCCUGGGCCGCACGCGCGCUACACUGACGCAACCUGCAAGUUCCAAGCCUGUCAAGGUCUGGCAAACUGCCAACUGCGUCGUAGUUGGAACUGACCCUUGCAAUUCUUGGUCACAAACCAGGAAUUCCUAGUAAGCGCAAGUCAUCAGCUUGCACUGACUAAGUCCCUGCCCUUUGUACACACCGCCCGUCGCUCCUACCGAUUCCGAGUGAUCAGGUGAACCUCUCGGACCCUGGAAGUUAAGUGAACCUUAUCACUUAGAGGAAGGAGAAGUCGUAACAAGGUAUCCGUAGGUGAACCUGCAGAAGGAUCA